rnacentral:tRNA from 1 species
GCACAUGUGGCGGAAUGGUAGACGCGCAGCGUUGAGGUCGCUGUGGCCGGUUUUAGGCCGUGCUGGUUCAAGUCCAGUCAUGUGCA